rnacentral:rRNA from 1 species
AUACGUAGGGUGCAAGCGUUAAUCGGAAUUACUGGGCGUAAAGCGUGCGCAGGCGGUUUUGUAAGACAGAGGUGAAAUCCCCGGGCUCAACCUGGGAACUGCCUUUGUGACUGCAAGGCUAGAGUACGGCAGAGGGGGAUGGAAUUCCGCGUGUAGCAGUGAAAUGCGUAGAUAUGCGGAGGAACACCGAUGGCGAAGGCAAUCCCCUGGGACUGUACUGACGCUCAUGCACGAAAGCGUGGUGAGCAAACAGGAUUAGAUACCCUGGUAGUCCACGCCCUAACCGAUGUCAACUGGUUGUUGGGUCUUCAGUGACUCAGUAACGAAGCUAACGCGUGAAGUUGACCGCCUGGGGGGUACGGCCGCAAGGUUAAAGCUCAAAGGAAUUGACGGGG